CGGACGGGAUUGGAGAGCUUGCUUUCCGUGAGAGUGGCGCACGGGUGCGUAACACGUAUGUAACCUACCUUUAUCAGGGGGAUAGCCUCUCGAAAGAGAGAUUAAGCCCGCAUAAUAUGAAGACACAGCAUUGUGAUUUCAUCAAAUAUUUAUAGGAUAGAGAUGGGCAUGCGGAACAUUAGCUAGUUGGUAAGGUAAUGGCUUACCAAGGCUACGAUGUUUAGGGGAUCUGAGAGGAUGACCCCCCACACUGGUACUGAGACACGGACCAGACUCCUACGGGAGGCAGCAGUAAGGAAUAUUGGUCAAUGGGCGGAAGCCUGAACCAGCCAUGCCGCGUGCAGGAAGACGGCCCUACGGGUUGUAAACUGCUUUUGUACCGGAAUAAACCCUGAUUCGUGAAUCAGGCUGAAUGUACGGUAAGAAUAAGGAUCGGCUAACUCCGUGCCAGCAGCCGCGGUAAUACGGAGGAUCCAAGCGUUAUCCGGAUUUAUUGGGUUUAAAGGGUGCGUAGGCGGCCUGUUAAGUCAGGGGUGAAAGACGGUAGCUCAACUAUCGCAGUGCCCUUGAUACUGAUGGGCUUGAAUGUACUAGAGGUAGGCGGAAUGUGACAAGUAGCGGUGAAAUGCAUAGAUAUGUCACAGAACACCAAUUGCGAAGGCAGCUUACUAUGGUAUGAUUGACGCUGAGGCACGAAAGCGUGGGGAUC
rnacentral:rRNA from 1 species